AGGUGUUAGAUUUUAGGUAUUGACACA
rnacentral:piRNA from 1 species